rnacentral:rRNA from 1 species
GAUGAACGCUGGCGGCGUGCUUAACACAUGCAAGUCGAACGAGAAGUGAAGACGGAAACCUUCGGGCGGAAGGCGUUAUUUCGAGUGGCGGACGGGGGAGUAACGCGUGGGUAACCCGCCUCAUACAGGGGGAUAACAGUUGGAAACGACAGAUAAUACCGCAUAAGACCACAGCACAGCAUGGUGCGGGGGUAAAAACUCCGGUGGUAUGAGAUGGACCCGCGUUCGAUUAGCCAGUUGGCGGGGUAACGGCCCACCAAAGCGACGAUCGAUAGCCGAUCUGCGAGGAUGACCGGCCACAUUGGGACUGAGACACGGCCCAAACUCCUACGGGAAGCAGCAGUGGGGAAUAGUGCACACUGGGGGAAACCCUGAUGCAGCGACGCCGCGUGAGUGAAUAAGUAUUUCGGUAUGUAAAGCUCUAUCAGCAGGGAAGAGAAUGACGGUACCUUAGUAAGAAGCCCCGGCUAACUACGUG